GCCUAUUAUUUCACCUCCAAAUUUUCCCCAAUGUUGAAACCCUUGUAAUUUCCGCCACCAAAAUUUUCUUUUCUCUCUCCUUCCUCUCUAUCUCUCUCAACUUUCUUUCUUUCUUUCUCUAGGAUCUAAAACAAGAUCUACCAUCAAACAUUAAGUAAAUAUUCAUCUACUUGUUCCUUCAAAAAAAAUUUCAUGUACUUAUGACAAAGAUGGUAAUGGUGACUGGGAUAGUGGACUUGGUGGUCGUGAUUGGUGAUGAUGACGGCGACGGCGGUUGGUGAAGAGCUUCACUUUUAGGGUUUUCGCAGUUUUCUAUUUCAGCAUUUUCCUUCUUCCAUUGAUGGUGAAGGAGCUUGAGGAAGAGGUUGAAAGUUGGUGUGAAGAUAAGCACAAGGUACAUGAUAAACCACAUUGAGUAGAGGAGGAAGAAUGAUAUGAUUAUUGUUGGGACAUUCUUGGUCGACGAUUAUCCAAACUCAUAACAUUAUGAAUGUACUUAAUUUCCUUAUAUGGGUUUUAAUAUUAUUAUAAUGUAAUGUGAACUAUUUAGAUAUGUAUUUUGGUAUGGAUCGGAGUUGUUUAGGUAUUCAUUGUUUGUAUUUCUUUCAAGCAAAAAUAAAAUGGCUGUUAUAUAAUUUUGCUUAUAUUUAUUGUA